UGAAGCAGUUAUGUGACCACAAACAUGAGGGACUUCAUUCAUUCAUUCAAACAAAAGGGAGCUUCUUAAAGAGACAGAGGCCCAAUUUCAAGAUGUUAAAUUACAAAGUCAAAAUUCUUUUAAGUCGUGUUUGAUGAAUACAGCAACUGAAGGUAGCAAAUAAUUGUUACAGGAUUGAAGGGUUGGACAAUACAGAUCAAACACGUCACAAUAUAAGCGUUUCGUAUCGGUCGAUAUCGAUAAUUAUUGAUUAGUUAAUUGUUUUGAAUAUCUGAAAUGCAGCCAAACUGAUGGCAUGACCUUCUCCUGUUUUACUCACAGUUUUCACUCUUUUGAUUUGGCAUAGUGACGAAACCUUGAACUGCUGCUGCGCCACUCAGCAGGUUGUUGCUAAGUAACCAAAGAAUGAGUGAGUUGCUAGGUUACCAAAGAGAGUGAGAUAGUUGAUUCCACCAAUCUUUCUUAGCUUGCCUUAAGAGGUCGAGAAACUAAAGCCUUUCCUCUGCCUACAUCUCCCAGAAUGCAGUGCGGCUCUGCACCAGUAGUCAGUGAGUAUUCUACAUACUAAAUAUUCUACCAGAAGUGUUAUCUAUUGAUAUUGAUCACAUGUCUAUCGCGGUAUAAAUUGUUAUCGAUUUAUUGCCCAGCUCUAUCUGAUUGCGCUAUAAAGCGGCUGGAAUGUACAGAAUACUUCUGCUAUGAAUCUGACAUCAGAAACUAAUUUAUCGGCUUAUUUAUUUUUGAGACCUCCACCUCUUGUGGCGUUCAGUACUUCUCAGUCCCUGGUUUCGUUUUGUCUCACACCGACUGAUUAGGGCUCCACCCUCAGGUCGCCUUUGCAGCGAUCACCUCCUCUGCCUUUUGCACCAAACUUCUUCUCAACUCGUCUGACCUUUCAAACUUGUGCCAAGCAGUUCGGCUGACUUCGCGCAUGAGCUGAGUUUAGGCACGUCUAGGUGUGAAAAUGAGUCUUUUGUGUUGCAGUGCAUUUAAGUGAAAAUAUGUUGAGCAAGUCCAGCCACAUCUUUUUGUUGUUUAAUUCUUGAGUGUGUUGAUGUGAUCAUUUUUAUGCAAGCUCAGACAACAACAACAAAAAAAACCCCCAACCUAAUAGUUUCAGAUCAGCUUCAGCAGGUUCACACUGUUCUUAGACAGGAAGCAUAUUAAGAGGAAGCCCUUGAUAAUUUAGGUCGUCCAUUUUUUAAAAUUUUUUUAAAGUGUGGACUGCCUCUGCAGUAAAAGACAAGAUCACGCUGUGUGGGCGAGGCUGUGUGUGGGCGAGGCUGUGUGUGGGCGAGGCUGUGUGGGGGCGAGGCUGUUUUAACGGCGGUGUCAACAUCCACACAAACAGCCUGUAACCUUUAAUAUUUCAGACGCCGUCUCUCACUUUGCAGCUUUUCUUUAAAGGUCAUGUUAUAUUUACAGAAAGAGAAGAGUCGGUGCAACGACAAGAGGCACUGAAACUGCUUCUUACCCAGACAGGUGCUUCUGUGUGACGGACCCUUUCUGAAUCAAAAAGUAAAGGGAAUGCACAAGCUGCAGAAAUUAAAAGUUGAGCCAUUAAUUUGAUGAUGCAGCACUUACAAUUUUGACUAGGAAUAACUCAUUUGCUUUGUGCAUCUCUAACUUCACACCCAGCGGUUGUGAAACUGCUGUUAGCAUAACAGCAAUACUGUUAUGAGUGUCAGUGCUAAUGAGGAAUAUUCGCAAUAUCCUAAAGCUGCGUUUCUGUGUUGACUAAAUUACAGGAAUGUUGGAUGAGUGGUGGAUAAACACUCCUUUUUAUUUAUUUAUUAUUUCUUUGUUUUGUGGUUGAGAGCUGGAAAACUGAACUGAAACACCAGCGCUGUAAAAACCAAAAUAGGAGCAGAAACUUUUUUAUCUUCUCUCCGUGUUUAAGCUCUUAGUUUGACUCGUCUUGCCUCUCAUAACAUGUUUCUCUCAUGUUAUGAGAGAAACAAUUUUCCAACGGACCAAGUACUUUUUAAGGAAUUACCGACUUAAAACAGUCUCAUAUUUUUGAUGAAAAGCUACUUGUAAGUUGGCUUUGCCUCAUUUGAAGUAUACUAAGAUAUUUGCACUGGAAACUAGACAGCAAAAAGUCUGUCAAUAAAGCCUCCAGACGGAGAGGCGCGCGUUGCUGCGCGGCUCCAGAGACGACUGCUGCCAUCGCCGUUUUCCACGGUUCAGACGGUGCCGCUAACGUGAUGCGCUCUUCCUUCCUGUUUCUGCUGCAGAACCUGUCCGGAAGUGAAGCUAAACAGUUUGAUCUUUGUUUUAUUCAGAGGAUUUCCUGGUGAGCCGAGAGUGAGGUGCCUUUUGGAUCAUGCCAGCAGGUCUGUCGUGAGUCAUUCAGUGAAAAGUGACCUCUGCCCUGUCAACCCGCCACAAAGCACAGAGCGCUGCACUCUGAACUACUGUUCUUCAGACCCAAAGCUUCAGUCUGAUGUGAUCUGAGAAAGGACUUCCUUCUAAUGUUGAGGAACUUCGACAGCUGUCAGCUGCACUUCUGAAUAUAAAGCAACAUUUAGCUGAAGCUAGGAUGUAUUUCCUCCUUCUGUUUCAACUCUGCGGUCCUGACUUCACCUCCUCACUUCCUCCCUCCCAGAGAUGAACUUCCUCUUCCAGUUCUUGCUCAGCUUUGCUGACACAGACCUGAGCCUCCAGCUGGGGAUUUCUUAUCAGGCUCCACCAUCAGCAGCAGGAACAAGUCUUGAUUCUGAA